rnacentral:ncRNA from 1 species
UAAAGGGAAUGAGGUUCUCCCUUGAAUUAAUUUUAAUUCUAAACCGCUUUUAAAGCUGAUGACUUCUGCGAUUA